CCUCGGUUGGGAGGAGAAGAAGAAAAGGGGUUUUAAACCCUUUUUACCAUUUUGCCCCUCAACUAUGCACUAUUUAUUUCGGGCAGUUUAAUUUUCGCCGGAGCCUUUCUGGAUGUCCGUUUUCGCUCAAAUUUGACAGGCACGCUCGGUUUUACUUAAUAAGUCCAAAGAAAUUUUAAUAUUUCAGUUUCGACCCCGUUUGGUCACCGAAAACUGUACCGAACUGCAAUCUUUAUCAGAUAGCUUUCGGAUUCGAUUUCUCUCUCUACGGGUGUCAGAAUGGUAUGAAACUUUAAAUCUAGCCUCAUAAAAAUAUUUCUGGCAUCCCCGCCAAUUUUCAUAAUUUUCUGAGACUGUGCAUUUUCUGCUAAUUUAUCUGCCCCGUUUCUCCCAGAAAAUUCUAAAUCUUCUGUUUUCGCUCCGAUUUCAGCACAGGUCAUUCCCAACCUAUAUUUCGCUUCUCUAAAUCCGAUAAAAUAGUAUCUCAUACUAUUUUUAUUUAUUUUCACUUUUCUAUUUAAAAUCCGGUAUGUUACAUUCCACCGCAACCUUACCGGAACCAUCUAAAUGUACACCGUGACUUCAUGAUUUUUGAAGUUCGGUAUGUUACAUCCCCGCCCUGUGACGGGAGGCCAUGUGGACCGAGUCAUAUUCGAAAUAGUGUGAGACUGGUUGAGCCGAGUCACAAUUGAGAUAAGUGAAUUGGUUGCGUAUUUCUAAUAGCUCAAGUUUUUGGGAUUAAUGGUUAGCACCAACGAUCCGACAAUAUUUUAUAAUUAAUUUAAAUAAAUAAUUAAUUAAUAUAUUUUUUUUAUUAUCUUCUACAAUAUUCAUAGCAAAUAAAUUUUUUAAUUUAUUAAAUUAUGUUAAAUUAAUUUUACGAUAUUAAUUAAUUAGAUAAAAUAUUAUUAUUUUAAAGUUAAAAUUACUUUUAUUCCUAUUAUUUUAAUCUAACCAUCCAAAUACUAUUAACUUAUUUUUGGGAACAACAUAACUUUCAUCCAAACAAAAACUUUAGUUCCUGCUUAUAUCUUAAUUUGUAGCUAUAUCUGAAUAAACAGUUAUUGCUUAUAUCAUCCAAACGAAGCCUUAAAGGAUAAAUUUUGGGCAAA
rnacentral:lncRNA from 1 species